rnacentral:rRNA from 1 species
AUUCCAGCUCCAAUAGCGUAUAUUAAAGUUGUUGCAGUUAAAAAGCUCGUAGUUGGAUUUCUGGUAGAAGUAGCGACCUUGGGUCUUUGACCUAUGAAGUUGCUAUCUUCAACCAUCCUUGAAGAGAUUUAGUUUGGCAUUAAGUUGUUGAACUAAAGAUAUUCAUCUUUUACUGUGAAAAAAUCAGAACGUUCAAAGUAAGCAUUUAGCUUUGAAUGUAUUAGCAUGGAAUAAUGAAAUAGGACUUAGGUACUACUUUGUUGGUUUAUGCACCUAGGUAAUGAUUAAUAGGGAUAGUUGGGGGUAUUCGUAUUCCAAUGUUAGAGGUGAAAUUCUUGGAUUUUUGGAAGACGAACAACUGCGAAAGCAUUUACCAAGGAUGUUUUCAUUG